UUUUAAUGUGGUAUUUUAAUAGUUAAUUCCUCACAUUUUGCUUAGUUAAUUCCUUAACGAAUCGAUUUUUAACUUAAUUUCUAUUUUUUUAGGUACAUUGGAGUAGAUGAUGAUGAAAUGAGCAUUAGGUCCAUAAUUACCUAUAAAUGAUGGAGAAAAAUGAAAAUGUACUAAAAGGUCAAUUUUACACAUUUUCCUACUCCGGCUAGGAGAAACCAAGCCAAGCAAGGAAGAAGGAGCGGCCGCCUGACCAAAUGAACUCCAAAUGAGCUGAAACUUUCCAGAUCCAUUCUAGACAUCCUAAGGAUCGUUUCUUAUGAAGAGUGCCAGAGCUAGAAUUGAGCGGAAGGCCUUCAAACAGUCAGCCCAAUUUCCUGCAGAAGCAAAACUGGAAAACUGGACCUGUAAGAGGUCCAGCAGCAUUUUCGGCCCAACCACAUGGAAUAAAAAUAUAAAAUUUUACCAGGGUGAUCUACACUCAUAAUGGAACAUUUUUUAUGAAGAGGUCAUAGUGAAAUUGGGAAUGCUUGUUGGAGAAAUAAUUGAAGGAAUAAAGGGGCAGAAACUGAUCUAAAAACAGCUCAACACCACAUGUUCAAGUUUCCUACCCACAUGAAGAAAGCUAGAUGCUUUUCUCUUUUUCCUUGGAUAUAUUUUUCUGCUCCAAUAGAUCAUCAUCACUUCCAUACUUCUACACCUUCAUGCCUUGCUUUCAUUUCAUCAUUACUCCAUCUUUUCCAUAUUUUACAAACCACUUUCAUUAUUUUUCUUCCAUUUAUCAUUUCACUCUUCUUUUUCUUCCCUAUAUAAACACCUUCUCCUCUCACUCUAAAGAACAUUCCUUCAUCCAUUCCAUCUUCUUGUCUCACCAUUUCCUUUCCAUUUUCCCAAAGAUUCCUUCAUCCAUUUCAUCUUCUUUGUCUCUCCAUUUCCAUUCCAUUUUUCUCUCCAUUCUCUAGUUGCAAAAUUCUGCGUUUUCAAGUAAGAAGAAGAAGAAGAAGAAGGAGCCGGGAAUAUCAUAUCCUCCAUCGUCCACCUUGAAGGCUUGCUUCCAAGAUUCAAGAUUUCAACGUUUCAAGCACUCCAUCUCCAUCUCCAACUCACGGUGUGUACCCUCAAUCCCCGGAAUAGAACGAUCCCUAUUUGCUUAUACUACUAACGAUGUUUUCAGGGUUAAAUUAUGCGCUUGC